rnacentral:rRNA from 1 species
AGAGUUUGAUCCUGGCUCAGAUUGAACGCUGGCGGCGGGCCUAACACAUGCAAGUCGAGCGGAAACGACACUAACAAUUCUUCGGGUGCGUUAAUGGGCGUCGAGCGGCGGACGGGUGAGUAAUGCCUAGGAAAUUGCCUUGAUGUGGGGGAUAACCAUUGGAAACGAUGGCUAAUACCGCAUAAUGCCUACGGGCCAAAGAGGGGGAUCUUCGGACCUCUCGCGUCAAGAUAUGCCUAGGUGGGAUUAGCUAGUUGGUGAGGUAAUGGCUCACCAAGGCGACGAUCCCUAGCUGGUCUGAGAGGAUGAUCAGCCACACUGGAACUGAGACACGGUCCAGACUCCUACGGGAGGCAGCAGUGGGGAAUAUUGCACAAUGGGCGAAAGCCUGAUGCAGCCAUGCCGCGUGUAUGAAGAAGGCCUUCGGGUUGUAAAGUACUUUCAGUUGUGAGGAAGGGGGUAGCGUUAAUAGCGCUAUCUCUUGACGUUAGCAACAGAAGAAGCACCGGCUAACUCCGUGCCAGCAGCCGCGGUAAUACGGAGGGUGCGAGCGUUAAUCGGAAUUACUAGGCGUAAAGCGCAUGCAGGUGGUUCAUUAAGUCAGAUGUGAAAGCCCGGGGCUCAACCUCGGAACUGCAUUUGAAACUGGUGAACUAGAGUACUGUAGAGGGGGGUAGAAUUUC